rnacentral:rRNA from 1 species
CCAGACUCCUACGGGAGGCAGCAGUGGGGAAUAUUGCACAAUGGGGGGAACCCUGAUGCAGCGAUGCCGCGUGGAGGAAGAAGGUUUUCGGGUUGUAAACUUCUUUUCUCAGGGACGAAUAGAUGACGGUACCUGAGGAAUAAGCCACGGCUAACUACGUGCCAGCAGCCGCGGUAAUACGUAGGUGGCAAGCGUUAUCCGGAUUUACUGGGUGUAAAGGGCGUGUAGGCGGGGACGCAAGUCAGAUGUGAAAACCACGGGCUCAACCUGUGGCCUGCAUUUGAAACUGUGUUUCUUGAGUACUGGAGAGGCAGACGGAAUUCCUAGUGUAGCGGUGAAAUGCGUAGAUAUUAGGAGGAACACCAGUGGCGAAGGCGGUCUGCUGGACAGCAACUGACGCUGAGGCGCGAAAGCGUGGGGAGCAAACAGGAUUAGAUACCCGAGUA